rnacentral:rRNA from 1 species
UACGGAGGGUGCGAGCGUUGUCCGGAAUCACUGGGCGUAAAGGGCGCGUAGGCGGCCUGGCAAGUCGAUGGUGAAAGCCCGAGGCUCAACUUCGGGUCGGCCACUGAUACUGCUGGGCUUGAGUCGACUAGAGGCAGAUGGAAUUCCGGGUGUAGCGGUGGAAUGCGUGGAGAUCCGGAAGAACACCGGUGGCGAAGGCGGUCUGCUGGGGUCGAACUGACGCUGAGGCGCGACAGCGUGGGGAGCAAACAGG